rnacentral:rRNA from 1 species
ACGGUCCUAAGGUAGCGAAAUUCCUUGUCGGGUAAGUUCCGACCCGCACGAAAGGUGUAACGAUUUGGGCACUGUCUCAACGAGGGACCCGGUGAAAUUGAAAUACCUGUGAAGAUGCAGGUUACCCGCGACUGGACAGAAAGACCCCAUGGAGCUUUACUGUAACCUGACAUUGGGUUUUGUUGUAUUACGUACAGGAUAGGUGGGAGGCUUGGAAGGCUGGACGCUAGUCUGGCUGGAGCCGGCGUUGGGAUACCACCCUUGAUACAACGGAAUUCUAACCGAGAGAGUAACGAAAUCCGGGACAGUGUCAGGCGGGCAGUUUGACUGGGGCGGUCGCCUCCGAAAGAGUAACGGAGGCGCCCAAAGGUUCCCUCAGCGCGGCCGGAAAUCGCGCGAAGAGUGUAAAGGCAGAAGGGAGCUUGACUGCGAGCCAAACACGGCGAGCAGGUACGAAAGUAGGGCUUAGUGAUCCGGUGGUACCGAGUGGAAGGGCCAUCGCUCAACGGAUAAAAGCUACCCUGGGGAUAACAGGCUAAUCUCUCCCAAGAGUCCAUAUCGACGGGGAGGUUUGGCACCUCGAUGUCGGCUCAUCACAUCCUGGGGCUGAAGUCGGUCCCAAGGGUUGGGCUGUUCGCCCAUUAAAGUGGUACGUGAGCUGGGUUCAGAACGUCGUGAGACAGUUCGGUCCCUAUCCAUCGCGGGCGCAAGAGAUUUGAAGGGGUCUGCUCCUAGUACGAGAGGACCGGAGUGGACGGACCGCUGGUGUACCAGUUAUUCCGCCAGGAGUACAGCUGGGUAGCUACGUCCGGACUGGAUAAACGCUGAAAGCAUCUAAGCGUGAAGCCAUCCUUAAGAUGAGAUCUCUCACAGAGUAAUCUGGUAAGACACCUUAAAGAAGAUGAGGUAGAUAGGCCUGUCUCUUAUACACAUCUCCGAGCCC